rnacentral:lncRNA from 1 species
AUAGCCUCAGAGCCGCACAGCCAUAGUGCCACACAGUGUCUCCAAAGAGUGCCACAAAAAAGGAGUUUCACCAAUCAAAAGUGUCCCAUGGCAUCCAGCCCACUGUUGGCUCUCUCUCUCUCUCUCUCCCUCUCUGUCUCUCUCCCUCUCUCGCUCUUGCCACAUUGUCUGACGUUUUUUGUAUCUGCUACAACUGCCUCAUAUGUGGCACAGCCUUUCGCUUAAGCAAAUUGCCAGGAGCCUGGCUCCACUUGCUUUUCCUGCUGCUGCAACUCCUUCUGGUCCAG